rnacentral:rRNA from 1 species
UACGUAGGGGGCGAGCGUUGUCCGGAUUUACUGGGCGUAAAGAGCGCGCAGGCGGUCGAUCAAGUCGCGUGUGAAAGCCCCCGGCUCAACUGGGGAGGGUCACGCGAUACUGAUCGACUCGAAGGCAGGAGAGGGUAGUGGAAUUCCCGGUGUAGUGGUGAAAUGCGUAGAUAUCGGGAGGAACACCAGUGGCGAAGGCGACUACCUGGCCUGUUCUUGACGCUGAGGCGCGAAAGCUAGGGGAGCAAACGGG